AGCACAACAAUUUAGUUACACGACUUGUAUGAUCAAAGAAACUGCCAUACUCCAUUGCCCUGUUUUCUCCAUCUUAAUUACCUGUACUGCACAAAACUACAUGUCUAGACCCCUAGUCUCAUACUUCUUGUUACCAAAAGAGAGUCAUGUCACAGUAGAAACCGAAAUAUAGUACAAGUUGUUUCUACGAAUAAGUUUAGCUGCAUAAAGCAGCAACUAAUGUGAGAAGUCCUGCUUGGGUAAUCAGGCCAUUGCACUGUCAGUCCGAGCUGCAUCUUCAGUCGAUUGGCUUCAUUAAUGUCUCAAUCCGUCUGACAGAGCAAUGCAACUUGUUCUCUCGCCUCAAUAAUUGCAGAAAUGAAGAGAACCGAUCAGUAAACUGAAGCAAAUCCAAAGCUCAAUCACUAUCUGCACUCAACCUAAACCUGUUUUUGUCCCAGAUACAGGUCUAAGCAUUGAAUGACUGAGAGCGGGCUGGGAACUUGCUGGUGCAUUAAACAUGCUGGGUGUUGAAGAGGAUGGGUGAAUCGCUGAGAGUGGCAGCCGAGGCCCAAAUCCAUAAAUUCCCUGUUGCUGCAUAAAUGACAUUUGAGGGUGCAUCGGUUGGUUGUUUCCAUAUCCAGCAAUAAAAUUUUGUUGUGGAGGACCUGAAACUUGUUGCCUACUAUUUCCUGUAUUAUUGACCACUGCUGCACCAGCACCAGACACACCCAUUGGUCGGGAUACACGCACCGAACCAGGUUGAGUUGUCAUUAUCCGAGCACGUUCUCCAAAAAAGCGUUGCCUUGUUCUCUCCAAUUGUUCACAUUCUUUCAUUAGCAAGGUCUCCACCUCAGCGAACUGCUUCAGCUUCAGCUCUAACCUCUUCAACUGAUGGUUGACUAUGUUUGCAGAUAACCGCUGAAUCUCACGUUCUUCAUGGUCAGCAAAAAGCUUUGAUUUUACAGCUGCAGCUGCAAGACCAACUUUAGCAGCAGCUCUUACACUUUCAGUGGAUAAUGGAGUCCCUCCAGCAUCAUGUUGACCCCAUGGACCUUGUCCUGCUGCCUUAUCAUCUUUUCGCUGAUACGAACUUCCAACAUCUCCAUGAGGACUUUCAUUCUUUCCAGGCAUUCUUCCUACACUGAUCC
rnacentral:misc_RNA from 1 species